AGCCAUUAUCCAUGCCAUAUUCGGCUUCAGGCACAACCCUAAUUAUUACAUUACAUAUUUUAUUUUUACAUGCAACAUAGAUAAGGUCAUAUAGUAACAGCUCCACGCAAUAUUGUAAUUCUAAAAUUCACGUCGUACUUGCAAACACUUUUUAUGCAUUAUGGUUAAUGCAUGCAUGAUUGUUUCCAACAGCGCCGAGUAGUCUAUGCAAGCCCUACAGUAUGACAAAAAUAUCACUGUAUUUAUGUGCGCAUGCCCAGUAGAGCCAAACGGAUCCCUUCCUUGCUGCGCACAUUUGUCAUAUCCCGAGCUUUGCGUGUGUCUGUGCACUGUGCCAAGGCAUCAGAAAUUUAAAUUUUUGACCACAGACAUAAUGUCAGCAAAAGCAGCAUUAUUAACUAAAUAAAAUGAAAAUAAAGUAGGCCUACAUAAAAAUAAUUUGACCUUACAGCUCCAAACUCUGUUCUAGAGGUCCAGUGUCCUUUAUAGUUUAGCUCCCAGGAUCGGACUGGGGGUAAAACCAGUACUCAUUAUCAGGGCCCCAAAGGAAGAGAGGGCCCUUGAAAAGCAUGAAUCUGAAAUAUAUUUUAUUGUACCUGGAUAUUUUCAUGGGUGGGGGGCAUGGGGGCCCAUCAGGACUGCCUUUGCAUAGGGCCCGGGAUCUUGUGUAACACCCCUGUUAGCUUUAACCCUAGUUAUACACACUUGAACCUAAUCAAGCUCUUACUAGACACACUAGAAUCUUCCAGGUGUGUUAAGGCCAGUUGGAGCUAAGCUUUUCAGGACAUUGGCCAUCCAGGAUCUAGUUUGGAGACCCCUGUCCUACAGAGUUGUUACUUUGCACAUGCUUUUUGAUCAUUACAAAUAAUAAUGUAAAUUAAUUUUCUUAGAAUAGGAGAUAUGCUGUCUCUCGCAUCACAAACAUUAUCAGUAGUUAAGUAUGUGGUCUUGAAGAGGACCCUUUUUUCUCUCAUUUGGACUCGGUCUUGACUUGGGCUCGAAACUUUUGGACUUGGACUUGACUUGGACCCGAACCUCUUUGGACUCUGUCUUGACUCGGUCUCGACUAGUUCUGGACUUGGACUUGACUUGGACUCGACAAAGCUGGACUUGACUACAGCUCUACAAAUAACUCUCUUGGUACUUUGGUGUCAUACAAUGAUCGGUGCGCAGCAACGCUUCAAGUUGAAUGAACCAAAAAAAAAACAACAUGUACAUUGCCUUGAACGUUCUCUGCAGAUCUCACCUUCUCACACGCCAUGAUUGGUUGAUUAUGUAACAUACCUGCAUGUUAUUGGUCAAACUACUUUGGAUGUUUUAGGCAAUAUAGAAAACCUGGCAAGGACGCAUCCUGGGAAAAUGGCUCAUAUGGUCACCCUAAAUUAAAAUAUAUUUUAUGUGGGACUUGACAGUAAAAAGCUAACAUAUUGAUUAAGCUGGAGUUUAGCUUGGCUGUUGAGAAGAUCCUCUGCAAGUUUGUCAUCCCGAUUGAAUCCCAAACGAUCCAUUAAAUUCCUCCAUUUUGUAAAUGCACUGCUGGUGCCAGUGUGUCUCAGCGUGGCAAGUGUUUGAAUUUUGACUUUUACUUCUGUGCACCAAAUGAAUGAAAUUAAAUCUGCUACAGAAGCCACACCCCAAACUCAUCUGCUACAGUAGCUACACCCCAAACUCAGUCUGCUACAGUAGCUACACCCCAAACUCAGUCUAAUACAGUAGCCACAACCCAAAUCAGUCUAAUACAGCAGCCACACCCCAAACUAGUCUGCUACAGUAGCUACACCCCAAACUCAGUCUGCUACAGUAGCUACACCCCAAACUCAGUUUGCUACAGUAGCCACACCCCAAACUCAGUCUAAUACAGCAGCCACACCCCAAACUAGUCUGCUACAGUAGCUACACCCCAAACUCAGUCUGCUACAGUAGCUACACCCCAAACUCAGUCUAAUACAGUAGCCACAACCCAAAUCAGUCUAAUACAGCAGCCACACCCCAAACUAGUCUGCUACAGUAGCUACACCCCAAACUCAGUCUAAUACAGUAGCCACAACCCAAAUCAGUCUAAUACAGCAGCCACACCCCAAACUAGUCUGCUACAGUAGCUACACCCCAAACUCAGUCUGCUACAGCAGCCACACCCCAAACUCAGUCUGCUACAGUAGCCACACCCCAAACUCAGUCUAAUACAGCAGCCACACCCCAAAUCAGUCUAAUACAGCAGCCACACCCCAAACUCAGUCUGCUACAGUAGCUACACCCCAAACUCAGUCUAAAACAGUAGCUACACCCCAAACUCAGUCUAAUACAGUAGCCACAACCCAAAUCAGUCUAAUACAGCAGCCACACCCCAAACUAGUCUGCUACAGUAGCUACACCCCAAACUCAGUCUAAUACAGUAGCCACAACCCAAAUCAGUCUAAUACAGCAGCCACACCCCAAACUAGUCUGCUACAGUAGCUACACCCCAAACUCAGUCUGCUACAGUAGCUACACCCCAAACUCAGUUUGCUACAGUAGCCACACCGCAAACUCAGUCUAAUACAGCAGCCACACCCCAAACUAGUCUGCUACAGUAGCUACACCCCAAACUCAGUCUGCUACAGUAGCUACACCCCAAACUCAGUCUAAUACAGUAGCUACACCCCAAACUCAGUCUGCUCCAAAAGCCACACACCAAACUCAGACUGCUACAGUAACCACGCCCCGAACUCAGUUUACUACAGCAGCCACACCCCAAUCUCAGGCUGCUACAGCAGCCACACCCCAAAUUCAGCCUGCUACAGUAGCCACACCUCAAACUCAGUUUACUACAGCAGCUACACCCCAAACUCAACAUUCUACAGUAACCACGCCCCAAACUCAGCCUGCUUUAGUAGAUACACCCCAAACUCAGUCUACUACAGCAGCCACACACCAAACUCAGCCUGCUAAAGUAAACACAUCCCAAAGUUAUUCUGCUUCAGCAGCCACACCCCAAACUCAACACCCCUAAGAAGCCACACACAAAAACCUGCCUACUGUAUUAGCCACACCCCAAACUCAAUCUACUACAGCAGCCACACCCCAAAUUCAGCCUGCUGGAGAAGCCACACCCCAAACUCUACCUGCUAUAGUAGCCACACCCCAAACUCUACCUGCUAUAGUAGCUUCACCCCAAUCUUAACAUUCUACAGAAGCCACACCCCAAACCCAGCCUGCUACAGUAGCUACACCCCAAACUCAACAUUCUACAGAAGCCACACCCCAAACUCAGCCUGCUGGAGUAGCCACACCCCAAACUCUACCUGCUAUAGUAGCCACACCCCAAACUCUACCUGCUACAGUAGCUACACCCCAAACUCAACAUUCUACAGAAGCCACACCCCAAACCCAGCCUGCUACAGUAGCUACACCCCAAACUCAACAUUCUACAGAAGCCACACCCCAAACUCAGCCUGCUAUAGUAGCCACACCCCAAACUCAACAUUCUACAGAAGCCACACCCCAAACUCAGCCUGCUAUAGUAGCCACACCCCAAACUCAACAUUCUACAGAAGCCACACCACAAACCCAGCCUGCUACAUGAAUUAGCCUGGCCAUGAAAUCAAACUGUUUCUUAUAUACAAUGUGCAUUGAUUUUUGUUUGUCUCAACCAGUCUCAACCAAUAUAAAAUAUGGUCUCGGACUUGAGUCUGUACUCGGGUGAGAGUGAUUUCACCAAGUACAACACGUUCCUGGAAUUAAAAAUCAGAAUUGAGAUAUAACUUUUCAGGAAAUAUCUGUUUUAGGCUUACAGUCAGGGUUAGGUGCUUCUACACCCUUGUUAAUCAGCUAUUAUUUCCCACUGAUUUUAGGAAUAAAUUAUGGGUAGGGUUAGGAGUUAGGAUCGGGCUAAAUCUAUAUUUUUGGAUAAUAAUGUUGAUCCAGGAUAACGUCUACUUUGCAAGAAGAUCAUGGCAACCCUGUACUUGAGAUCUGAAUGUUUUAGCUGCUGUAUUUUAAAGCACAUACACGGAUUGAAAUGGCUUUGUGAUCUGUUUUGUCAUUUAACUGAUGUCAGAAUACCUUUAAAAGAAGAUUUUGAAUAAACUGUAAGUACAUAUUGAUGUGUGUGUGUGUG